rnacentral:lncRNA from 1 species
GUUUUGUUUUCCACUUAAUUUAUUCUCUCAUCUAUACUUUUUUGUAUCUAUUUUAUUUGGAUUAGAUUUGUAGUGCCAAUCUAACACAAGUCUUUUUAGUUUUAAUAUUUUUUAUUGUUGUCAAUUGAAAUUUCUUUUGUUUUUGUUCACUAUUCAAUAUUUAUAUUGACAACAGUGUAUCGAACAAAUAUAAUUCAUCGGGAUAAAUGAAGUGGAUCUAUUUAGUUUUAUUUUAUGUUUUAAAUUAAAUCGAAAAUGUGAAUGUAUUUUUUUAGAUUUAUUCCUUCAAUUGUUUUUGGUUGUCUUGUCUAAUCUCUUUAUUUAUUUUUCUUCGAUAUUUUCUUCGGGUUGCUAACUCAACGGUAGAGUACUCAGUUUUUAAGUGCGGCUAGUCUCUUUUACACAUAUGGAUGAAGUGAGGGAUUCGUCGAUACUCUCGGUAAAAGUUUGGAAGACCACGACUGAUCCUGAAAGGGAAUGAAUGGUAAAAAUAGCAUAUCGUAUCAACGGAAAGUUCUGAGAAUAUUCCAUUGUUCCUAAAUGGGUAUAAAACCAUGUUAGAAUUCUUUGAACGGAACAAAAUAAAAUUGGGUCGAAUGAAUACAUGGAUAGGGUUGCAGCUUCAAUUAAAUUAUAGGGAAAGAAAAAGCAACGAGCUUUUGUUCUUAAUUUGAAUGAUUCCC